rnacentral:pre_miRNA from 1 species
AAUGUACUCCCUCCGUUCCGAAUUACUUGUCUUGGAUUUGUCUAGAUACGGAUGUAUCUAGACUCAUUUUAGUGCUAGAUACCUCCGUAUCUAGACAAAUCUAAGACAAGUAAUUUGGAACGGAGGGAGUAUCUG